ACAUUUCCUUCUCUAUUAGUGAACAUUUUAGUCAACUUGACGUGACUUCUCUUAACACAGAACAGUGACAGCAGUCACAAAAAGACAGUGAAGGUCAGUGGCAGUCAUAAUGAAGAUUCUCUUACUGGCAACAAUCGCAGCUCUGACCACCCUGGAACUGAGGGUGCUGUCAUAUGAGCAAUAUUGUCUGAGAGACUACCAAGUGGACAACUGGGAUGGCACCACCCAACCUCCCCCCGAGACUUCAGGAAUGCCCACCAAUGAUGAAGGUCUCAAGUCGACAGUUAGGAGGGUACUCUCGGAUGGCGGGUUUGACGCCAACGAUGAAGGCUAUUACGGCGAUGUCUUUUUCCGCCAUGGAGUAGCUUGAUGAGGUGGCGCUGCACCCCAGCUUGGAGGAUGGCGGCAAAAAAUUACAUUUCUGUUGUGUUGUGUUCAUUUUUAUUUUGUGGCAGUCCCCCACCAGCAUUGCAUCACAGUUGAGGGGGCUCCUCUGUAUUUUGGUUUAUUUGUUUAUAUGUUGUGCGUUGGCGGGUUGUGGUGUAUAGACAGUGUGUGUCCAAGACGGACACAACUGUUCCCCCAAGAGAGUCAAGGUGUGCCAGGUGGUAGGCCAUUCCAGGGAGGUUGUUAACUGUGUGCGGUGGGGGUGAGUGCAGAGUGCCUCCCUGUGUGUGUGCAAGCAAAACCGUUUUUGGGGAAUAAUUGUUAGAGUGUAGUGUGCAGUGGAUGUGCAGGCAUGCUUACCUGUGGGGAGCCUCCUGUACUGCAUGGUGAGCUCCGGGAGGUCGUUAAAUAGGAGGUGCAGAGAAAGCAGACCCUGGGUCCUUUUGAUAACUGAACUUCUAAAUUAAUUGUUAAUAAAGACAGUUUUCCUUUA